rnacentral:rRNA from 1 species
GACGUAGGGCGCGAGCGUUGUCCGGAUUUAUUGGGCGUAAAGAGCUCGUAGGCGGCUUGUCGCGUCGACUGUGAAAACCCGCGGCUCAACUGCGGGCCUGCAGCCGAUACGGGCAGGCUAGAGUUCGGUAGGGGAGACUGGAAUUCCUGGUGUAGCGGUGAAAUGCGCAGAUAUCAGGAGGAAUACCGGUGGCGAAGGCGGCAUCCUGGACCGACAUUGACGCUGAGGAGCGAAAGCUAGGGGAGCAAACGGG